UUUCCGUAGGUGAACCUGCGGAAGGAUCAUUAAAAAAUAUCACAUUUGUUUGUGAUUUAAUAAUCAUCCUACCCUUUGUGAAUUUGUUUUUGUUUGAAAUUUAUGUUGUCUAUCCCUGGAUUAUGAAAGAAAAGUUGUAAAAGACUUUUUUUUCAUUCUAGGGAAUAGGCUUUCAUAGACAUUUUUUUAAAUUAAACUUUUUGUAUUCAUUUGUCUAAAAUUUAUUUUAAAUAAUUUAAAGACAACUUUUGACAAUGGAUCUCUUGGUUCUCGCAACGAUGAAGAACGCAGCAAAAUGCGAUAAGUAAUGUGAAUUGCAGAAUACGUGAAUCAUCAAAUUUUCGAACGCAUAUUGCACCUUUCUAGUUUACUAGAAAAGUAUGUCUGUUUGUGUAUCAGUAAAAUAUUCUCAUAAAAACUAUUGUUUUUAUGGUUAUGAGUGUUUUACAACGAUAACAAGUUGUUUCACUUUAAAUUGAUUUUUUUAAUAAGCCAAUUUGGUUUUAUUUUUAAAAUUGGAUAAAAUUUUCUCGUAAAAAGGAAUAAACUUUUCAGUUUUAAAGUUAAAACUUAAAUUGACCUACAAAAAAGGAAAUUUAAUUAUAAAACUAACUUGAUCUCAAAUCAGAUAAGAGUACCCGCUGAACUUAAGCAUAUCAAUAAGCGGAGGAAAAGAAACUAACAAGGAUUCCCUUAGUAACGGCGAGUGAAGCGGGAAGAGCUCAAAUUUGAAAUCUUCAAGGUUCUACCUUGACGAAUUGUAGUUUAAAGAAGUGUUCUCUGUUAGUGGAGUGGCAAAAGUUCUUUGGAAUAGGACAUCAUAGAGGGUGAGAAUCCCGUAUUUGGUCAUUCCUUCUAGCUUUGUGAUACACUUUCAAAGAGUCGGAUUGUUUGGGAAUGCAGUCCAAAAUGGGUGGUAAAUUUCAUCUAAAGCUAAAUAUUGGCGAGAGACCGAUAGCGAACAGGUACCGUGAGGGAAAGAUGAAAAGAACUCUGAAAAGAGAGUUAAACAGUACGUGAAAUUGUCAAAAGGGAAGCGUUUGACACCAGUGUUGUUUUUCCGAAAAUCAAUUAUAAAUGUUUUGAUUCUGAGGAGUGAUGACUUCAUCGGCUUCCUUCUCUCUUCACGAAACUUUUGUAAUGCACUUUUCGGUUAACAAGUCAACAUCAAUUUCUUUUGUUGUAAAAGAGUAUUCGGAAGGUGGCUUUCUUUUCGGAGAAAGAGUUUAUAGCCCUAUACUUCUACAAUCGGAGAGAUUGAGGUCUGCAGCGUAGAUCCUUCGGGGUUAGAUACACUUGUGCUAAGUUAUAGCUUUUCAUAGACAACUUGUUGACUAUGUUUAGUCUUGUAGCUUACUCGCUUGUGCUAUUUUACCUACGCUUAGGAUGUUGAC
rnacentral:misc_RNA from 1 species